rnacentral:lncRNA from 1 species
GGGGUGCACAAACUGAAGGAUCUGCCUCAGACUCUGACACAAAAUGAAUAUCAAGGCUCGACCUGGGCUUAGGUGGUGAUGAGGGACUCUCCCCCUCAGCAUGCUCCUCCUCCUCCUCCUCCACAAUUACAGCACCUCGACCCUUGGUCCAAUGACCAUCCACUCCAAUGAAACCCAUACGUCAAAGGGAAUGGUCAUUGUAAGUG